GUGGGGAAUAUUGCGCAAUGGGCGAAAGCCUGACGCAGCGACCCCGCGUGAGGGAUGAAGGUUUUCGGAUCGUAAACCUCUGUCAGAAGGGAAGAAACUACGUUGUGCUAAUCAGCAGCGUACUGACGGUACCUUCAAAUGAAGCACCGGCUAACUCCGUGCCCGCAGCCGCGGUAAUACGGAUGGUGCCAGCGUUCAUCGGAAUUACUUGGCGGAAAGCGCACGUAGGCUGUAGUGUAAGUCAGGGGUGAAAUCCCCCGGCUCAACCGUGGAACUGCCUUUGAUACUGCUCAACUGGAAUCCGGGAGAGGGUGGCGGAAUUCCAGGUGUAGGAGUGAAAUCCGUAGAUAUCCGGAGGAACACCGGUGGCGAAGGCGGCCACCUGGACAGGUACUGACGCUGAGGCGCGAAAGCGUGGGGAGCAAACAGGAUUAGAAACCCUAGUAGUCC
rnacentral:rRNA from 1 species